CCUACGGGAGGCAGCAGUGGGGGAUAUUGCACAAUGGGGGAAACCCUGAUGCAGCGACGCCGCGUGAGUGAAGACGUAUUUCUGUAUGUAAAGCUCUAUCAGCAGGGAAGCAAAUGACAGUACCUGACCAAGAAGCCCCGUCUAAAUACGUGCCAGCAGCCGGGGGAAUACGUAGGGGGCAGGCGUUAUCCGGAUUUAAUGGGUGUAAAGGGAGCUUAGUCGGUUUAGUAAGUCUGGAGUGAAAGCUCGGGGGCCAACCCCGGGAAUGCUGUGGAAACUGGGUAACUGGAGUGCAGGAGGGGCAGGCGGAAUUCGUGGUGUAGCGGUGAAAUGCGUAGAUAUCAGGAGGAACACCGGUGGCGAAGGCGGCAUGCUGGCGUGCAACUGACGUUGAGGCACGAAAGCGUGGGGAGCAAACAGGAUUAGAUACCCGAGUAGUC
rnacentral:rRNA from 1 species